GGAUGCGAUCAUACCAGCACUAAAGCACCGGAUCCCAUCAGAACUCCGCAGUUAAGCGUGCUUGGGCGAGAGUAGUACUGGAUGGGUGACCCCCUGGGAGUCUCGUGUUGCAUCCC
rnacentral:rRNA from 1 species